GUAAUGUUGAUUAAUAAUAUAAGCUAUUAUGAUAAUCAUAAUAAUACUACUACUGUACACUGAGCAUAUACACAGAGUGUACAAAACAUUAAGAACACCUGCUCUUUCCAUGACAUAGACUGACCAGGUGAAUCCAGGUGACAGCUAUGAUCCCUUAUUGAUGUCACUUGUUAAAUCCACUUCAAUCAGUGUAGAUGAAGGGGAAGAAAGAUUUUUAAGCCUUAAGACAAUUGAGACGUGGAUUGUGUGUGUCAGUCAGAGGGUGAAUGGGCAAGACAAAAGAUUGAAGUGCCUCUGAACAGGGUAUGGUAGUAGGUUCCAGGUGCACAGGUUUGUGUGAAGAACUGAAGACAAAAGGGUGCAAUGCAAUAUUAGGAGGAUGUUCCUAAUGUUUUGUUCACUCAGUGUAUAUGCCAUAUAGCAAAUGCUUUAAUCCAAAUGGACUUACAGUCAUGCAUGCAUACAUUCUACAUAUGGGUGGUCCCAACAGGAAUCGAACCUACAACCCUUGGCUUUGCAAGUGCCAUUAUCUACAGACUGAGCCACAAAGAACCACAUUAAUGUGCAAAUGGUGCAUCGCCCCUGUCAAAUCAACCUAAUACAGUAAAGUUAACGGAGCAACGUUUCCCUAGCUAAGGCUUAAGACAUAACCAUCAAAGAAGCAGAAAUUAAAUUAUGGAACUGUGGACUGUAGGACAUGAGAUGACUAGACUGUGGACCGUAGAACAUGAGGUGACUGGACUGUGGACCGUAGAACAUGAGGUGACUAGACUGUGGACCGUAGAACAUGAGGUGACUAGACUGUGGACCGUAGGACAUGAGGUGACUAGACUGUGGACCGUAGGACAUGAGGUGACUAGACUGUGGACCGUAGGACAUGAGGUGACUAGACUGUGGACCGUAGGACAUGAGGUGACUAGACUGUGGACCGUAGGACAUGAGGUGACUAGACUGUGGACCGUAGGACAUGAGGUGACUAGACUGUGGACCGUAGAACAUGAGGUGACUAGACUGUGGACUGUAGGACAUGAGGUGACUAGACUGUGGACUGUAGGACAUGAGGUGACUAGACUGUGGACCGUAGAACAUGAGGUGACUAGACUGUGGACCGUAGGACAUGAGGUGACUAGACUGUGGACCGUAGGACAUGAGGUGACUAGACUGUGGACUGUAGGACAUGAGGUGACUAGACUGUGGACCGUAGGACAUGAGGUGACUAGACUGUGGACCGUAGGACAUGAGGUGACUAGACUGUGGACUGUAGGACAUGAGGUGACUAGACUGUGGACCGUAGGACAUGAGGUGACUAGACUGUGGACCGUAGAACAUGAGGUGACUAGACUGUGGACUGUAGGACAUGAGGUGACUAGACUGUGGACCGUAGGACAUGAGGUGACUAGACUGUGGACCGUAGGACAUGAGGUGACUAGACUGUGGACUGUAGGACAUGAGGUGACUAGACUGUGGACUGUAGGACAUGAGGUGACUAGACUGUGGACCGUAGGACAUGAGGUGACUAGACUGUGGACUGUAGGACAUGAGGUGACUAGACUG